GAUGAAGAACGUAGCGAAAUGCGAUAAGUAAUGUGAAUUGCAGAAUUCCGUGAAUCAUCGAAUCUUUGAACGCACAUUGCGCCCCCUGGCAUUCCGGGGGGCAUACCUGUCCGAGCGUCAUUUCUGCCCUCAAGCACGGCUUGUGUGUUGGGUGUGGUCCCCCCGGGGACCUGCCCGAAAGGCAGCGGCGACGUCCGUCUGGUCCUCGAGCGUAUGGGGCUCUGUCACUCGCUCGGGAAGGACCUGCGGGGGUUGGUCACCACUAUAUUUUACCACGGUUGACCUCGGAUCAGGUAGGAGUUACCCGCUGAACUUAAGCAUAUCAAUAAGCGGAGGA
rnacentral:misc_RNA from 1 species